CCUGGUUCAUCCUGCCAGUAGUCAUAUGCUUGUCUCAAAGAUUAAGCCAUGCAUGUGUAAGUAUGAACAAAUUCAGACUGUGAAACUGCGAUUGGCUCAUUAAAUCAGUUAUAGUUUGUUUGAUGGUAUCUACUACUCGAAUAACCGUAGUAAUUCUAGAGCUAAUAUGUCCAAUAAACCCAGACUUCUGGAAGACAUGCAUUUAUUAGAUAAAAGGUCGACGCGGGCUCUGCCUGUUGCUGCGAUGAUUCAUGAUAACUCAACGGAUCGCACGACCAUCGUGCCGGCGAUAUAUCAUUAAAAUUUCUGCCCUAUUAACUUUCGAUGGUAGGAUAGUGGCCUACCAUGGUGGUGACGGGUGACGGAGAAUUAGGGUUCGAUUCCAGAGAGGGAGCCUGAGAAAAAUCUACCACAUCUAAGGAAGGCAGCAAGCGCGUAAAUUACCCAAUCCUAACACGGGGAGGUAGUGAUAAUAAAUAAUAAUACCGGGCUCAAUGAGUCUGGUAAUUCGAAUGAGUACAAUCUAAAUCCCUUAACGAGGAUCCAUUGGAGGGCGAGUCUGGUGCCAGUAGCCGCGUUAGUUCCAGCUCCAAUAGCAUAUAUUUAAGUUGUUCCGGUUAAAAAGCUCGUAGUUGGACUUUGGGAUGGGCUGGCCGGUCCACCUAUGGUGUUCACCGAUCAUCUCGUCCCUUCUGUCGGCGAUGCGCUCCUUNCUCGUCCCUUCUGUCGGCGAUGCGCUCCUGGCCUUAACUGGCCGGGUCGUGCCUCCGGCGCUGUUACUUUGAAGAAAUUAGAGUGCUCAAAGCAAGCCUACGCUCUGUAUACAUUAGCAUGGGAUAACAUUAUAGGAUUUCGGUCCUAUUAUUUUGGCCUUCGGGAUCAUAGUAAUGAUCAAUAGGGACAGUUGGGGGCAUUCGUAUUUCAUAGUCAGAGGUGAAAUUCUUGGAUUUAUGAAAGACGAACAACUGCAAAAGCAUUUGCCAAGGAUGUUUUCUUUAAUCAAGAACGAAAUUUGGGGGAUCAAAGGGGAUCAGAUAUCGUCCUAGUCUCAACCAUAAACGAUGCCGACCAGGGAUCAGCGGAUGUUGCUUUUAGGACUCCACCGGCACCUUAUGAGAAAUCAAAGUUUUUGGGUUCCGGGGGGAGUAUGGUCACAAGGCUGACACUUAAAGGAAUUGACGGAAGGGAACCACCACAAGUGGAGCCUGCGGCUUAAUUUGACUCAACACGGGGAAACUUACCAGAUCCAGACAUAGUAAGGAUUGACAGACUGAGAGCUCUUCCUUGAUUCUAUGGGUGGUGGUGCAUGACCGUUCUUAGUUGGUGCAGCGAUUUGUCUGGUUAAUUCCAUUAACGAACGAGACCUCAGCCUGCUAACUAGCUAUGCAGAGAUAUCCCUUCGCGGCCAGCUUCUUUGAGGGACUACGGCCUUUUAGGCUACGGAAGUUUGAGGCAAUAAUAGGUCUGUGAUGCCCUUAGAUGUUCUGGGCCGCACGUGCACUACACUGAUGUAUUCAACGAGUUUAUAGCCUUGGCCGACAGGCUCGGGUAAUCUUUGAAAUUUCAUCGUGAUGGGGAUAGAUCAUUGAAAUUGUUGGUCUUCAACGAGGAAUUCCUAGUAAGCGCGAGUCAUCAGCUCGCAUUGACUACGUCCCUGCCAUUUGUACACAUCGCCCGUCACUCCUACCGAUUGAAUGAUCCGUUGAAAUGUCCAUUGAACCUUAUCAUUUAGAGAAAGGAGAAGUUGUAACAAGGUUUCCGUAGGUGGACCUGCGGAAGGAUCAUUG
rnacentral:rRNA from 1 species